rnacentral:misc_RNA from 1 species
CAACCCUUAAGCCUAGCUUAGUGUUGGGAACCUACUCGCCCCCUCGGCUUGUAGUUCCUGAAAUACAACGGCGGAUCUGUGGUAUCCUCUGAGCGUAGUAAUUAUUUUCUCGCUUUUGUUAGGAGCUGCAGCAUCUAUAGCCGCUAAACCCCCCAAUUUUUAAU